UCUGUUAUCUACCACUUACUUAUGUAACCUAACCGUCCUGUGCCUCUGUGUUCUCCAUUGUAAUGUGGAAAUCGUACAAUACCUACCCUGUGACAGGCUUGUGAAAAUAAAUAAGGAAACAGGUUUGGGACCAGAGCCCAUUAGAUAGGCUGUAAAAUAGAAGAGGCUCCCACCACCAGAUGUCACGUCUCUUCCUCGUCCUUCCUCUGCCCGACUGCAUCCGAACGGGUACAGAUUCCUCUCCCUCUUUGGAACAGAACUUAUUUGAAGACUAUAAACUCCUGAUCCACCUGUCCACCUGAUCACCUGAGACCAGGCACAGAGCCAAGCACAGAGCCUAGAACAGAGCACAGAGCCUAGAACAAAGGAGUCCUCAACAAAUACUUGCUGAGUGAAUGUCUGAACGUAUUACUCACUGUCAGAAGGCAAAGCACCUCCUUACAAGGUAAUGUCGAAGCUACUAAAAAUUAAAAACUGGAAGCAAAUCAAUUACCCAUGA